CCCCCUUGAGACACCGGACCCUGUUAAUCAACCACUUUUUAAAGGUCCGAUAUGCACCCAGUUGAGGACUGAAAUUAGAUUCUUUUUGACCAAUGUGCGCUCCCUCCACAAUCGGGAGCAUGCCCAUCACUCCAGAAGCUUCCCAGUGUCCUCUGCCGGCGGCCACCUCCCCUCCCGGCCGCCAGCACCCACCGACGCAAUGCCUGUCCCUGUUGUGCCUUCUCCAGAAGGUCAUACAUAGGAGUCGCAUGGAACAGAGCCAUUUGUGUCUGGCUUUUUAUGUGGAGACUAAUGUGGUUGAGCUCCACCCUCUUUGUCGCAUCUAUAGUUCGUCCCCGUUAUUGCUGAGUAUCCGUGGUACAGAGACACUGCCAUUCGCUUACCCGCGCAGCAGAUGAUGGACACUGGGGUUGUGUCCAGUUCGGGGCGAUUGUGAAUAAAGCUGUUCCCAGGUCAUUGCUCAGACAGGUUCUCUUCUCUCUCAGGUGAGAACCCAAGAGAGAAAUCACCGAGUCCUGCACUUGCUUAACUUCAGAAGGAGCUGCGGAGCUAGUUUCCAACAUGCCUGGACCAUUUCACAGUCCCACCAGCUGUGUAUAAAAAUGCAGCUACAGACAGCUAUGAUUUAAAACACACACACACACACACAAAAAACGAAGUAGCAAGUGUUAGCAAGAAUGUGGAGAAACGUGAACGCUCACGGGUGGUGGGAAAGUGAAAUGGUUAGCGAAUGGCCCCAUCACCCAGCAAUUCUGCUCCUAGGAAUGUGCCCAAAAAAACUGAACACAGGUGUUCAAGCAGAAACGUUCAUGGUGGCGUUAUUCACAGAGGCCAAAGUACAGAAACAGCCCAGAUGUCCAUCAGUGGGUGCUGGAGAAACAAGAGAGGCCGAGUCAUCCAGUGGAAUAUUAUUCACUUAUGAACAGGAGUGAGGUACAGAUACGCGCCACAGCAGGGGUGGAUCUUGAGGACACAAAAAACAAAACAAGGCAGAAAAAGGCCACGUAUCGUAUGGUUCCAUUUAUACGAAACAUCCAGAACAGGCCAACCCACAGAGACAGAAAGCAGGCAAAAAGCCAGGGGUUGAGAGAAGGGGUCUGUGAAUCACGUUGUUUGCUUUCUGUACUUUACGAUGCUUUGACAUCUUGGGGUCCUGUAGACCCAGCGAGGGGUUGCCCCUCCCAGAGUUAGCUCAUUCCUGGAGAUGGCCAACAAGUUGCCUGAGUCAACGCCUUUAUGUUCAAACUAACCAGUCCUGAUUCCGCACAGCCACCCAGCUCCUACCAUCGGACUCCUGCAGGCUGGCACUCAUUUGCCUGCCCUAAGUCACCCGGGGGCCAGGUGCCAACAAGUGGGGACCAUCUUACCAGCCUCCAGGUCCCUCCCUGGACCUGGCUCAUGGCUGGGGCCUCCCAGGGCCCAGAGAAACCUGAGCCUAGAGAGCAGGACACUCAGCCAGGGUCUGCAUGAGAGCAGCAGCUGGCCCGCACAUCUGUGGAUUUAUCCCGAGUCUGUACUGUUCACGGUCAAGUGCAUCGAUGCUAAGGGCACCUCGUGUGGGGCUCUGCACAGACCCAGGGGGCGCCAGACGCCUCCACUUCUUUCCAGAUGAACCGAGAGGAGUGGCCAGUGCUGGCCACUCACUGGUCCUUUGGCUCCUCUCUUCUCUACAUCCCACCAUUUCUUAUCUUUUCCGAUCAUGGAAACAUUUCCCACCUUGUAAAUUUUCCCUUGACUUUUCCUUCUCUUAUUCCGGGGCGUGCAUUUCCCCUCCUGUUCCCCGUGGGGAAGGCAGCGUCGGGGGGCCAGCCCCCCGAGUUGGAGCAAGAGCUCCCACAACCUUUGAUCUUCCCGCCGACACAUGGCCCAUUAAUCACACUUGCAGAUGCUCAUGGUCUCGCGCUGACAUCAUGAGGCUGGUCUGAGGCACACGUGUGGCAGGGAACACACGCCACCGUGGGGCUGAUUUAGGCGAGGAGGACUCGGUGGGGGACCACUGGCGCCGCGAAUCACGGGCCGGGGAUCUUCACAUCACAGGCGAAUGCUCCCCUCCAGCUUCGGCGGGUCUCAACCCAGUGGCUCCUGCCCGUGGUAACGAGGACGCCUCCUCCUUCCCACGGGCAGGGGGUUUUCACGACUCUCUUAUUGUUAAGACUUUACUUUUCUAGAGCAGUUUAGGUUCGCAGCAAAUCUGAGAGGAGGUUGCGAGAUCCCCCAGUACCCGCUGCCUGCAUGCCCCCACUGCCUCCCCGCUAGCAGCAUCUCCCAACAAGAUGCUGCAUUUGGUAUCACUGAUGAAACGCCGACACAUCAUAGUCGCCCAGAGCCUACAGUGGACACAAGGUUCGCUCCUGGUGUACAUGCUGUGGGUCUGGACCAAUGCACGGCGACACGUGUCCAUCCGUCUAGUGUCACGCGGAGCAGGCUCACUGCCCUGAGAACCUGAGCUCCGCGGCUCAUCCCUCCCCUCGGACACCUAGAGACCACUGGUUUCCUGUCGUCUCCACAGUUCUGCGUUUUCCAGAAUGUCAUAAGUUACAAAGUUACAGUCACACUGCUGAGGAACGUCCCAUUGUCCGGAUGGCCCACUGUUUGCUUAUCCGUCACCUACUGAAGGACCUCGCGGGGACGCCCAGUGGUGGCGACUAUGAAUACAUCCGAGUGCGGGUUUUCGUGUGGACCCGUUUCCGACUCCUCCAGGUAAAGGCCCAGGAGUUUGUCGGCUGGACCGCACGGAGCCCGCCAUCCGCCGCUCGGAACGCUGCUCCGGGGGAGCCGAACGGUGGCCCCCGAGACGUCCAGGCCCCGACAUCAGCUCCUGCGAAGGGACCUUCCAGGGCAAGGGGAACCAUACAGAGGGAGGCAGGACAGCC